rnacentral:rRNA from 1 species
AGAGUUGAUCCUGGCUUGGGACGAACGCUGGCGGCGUGCUUAACACAUGCAAGUCGAGCGAUGAAGCUUCUUCGGAAGUGGAUUAGCGGCGGACGGGUGAGUAACACGUGGGUAACCUGCCUCAUAGAGGGGAAUAGCCUUCCGAAAGGAAGAUUAAUACCGCAUAAGAUUGUAAUAUCGCAUGAUAUAGCAAUUAAAGGAGUAAUCCGCUAUGAGAUGGACCCCGCGUCGCAUUAGCUAGUUGGUGAGGUAACGGCUCACCAAGGCGACGAUGCGUAGCCGACCUGAGAGGGUGAUCGGCCACAUUGGGACUGAGACACGGCCCAGACUCCUACGGGAGGCAGCAGUGGGGAAUAUUGCACAAUGGGGGAAACCCUGAUGCAAGCAACGCCGCGUGAGUGAUGACGGUCUUCGGAUUGUAAAGCUCUGUCUUCAGGGACGAUAAUGACGGUACCUGAGGAGGAAGCCACGGCUAACUACGUGCCAGCCGCCGC